CUCUCUGUAGCUCAGUUGGUUAGAGCGCUGCACCAGAAUCGCAGGGCCGAAGGUUUCGGUUCCUGCCAGAGCAC